GUUGCCGCCAUUGUGGUCUUUCGGUGAUUUCGCUUCCUUCAUGCUGUAGCGAUGUUCGGAUGUCAAUCUGUUCGCAUCGUGAACCAGGGGCCGGUUACCGCUUGCAUGUCACGAAAUGCACCACGUGUAGGCUUUAAUGGAGGCGCUGUAACAAUGACUAAAGCAUGGACGUACAUUCUUCAAACCUUUCCGGGUGUCGUGAGCUGACCACUCAUGAAGUAGGCCCAGGGCUGAAGGAGAGUUUGAAGUCUGCUUGAUUGCAUGGAACAUGCAGAAGUGCUGCGAAGACCUGGCCGAAGCUGCCGUGCCUGUCGACAGGGCUCUUAUCAGGAUCCCCGUAUGAUACAGCUUAGGUUGCACAGCUGCCCAGAAAAACACCUCCAGCUUUCCUCCAUUCCAUGACUACAGGUGACCUGCUUGGUGCUGCACUUGGUGGUAUCCUCUGGGCUCCAUCUGUAUUGGUGAUGGGCCACGUCUGAGGUCUCUGCCUUCGGUGUUGGGUCACAUCUGAGGACGUUGCAUUGGGAUAGCAUAUAUUACCACAUGGAGAUUGGAGUCUGGCAUGCAUUUAAGUGGUUUUACUGUGUCUGAUAUAGUCCAUCCCUGGAUGCAGUGGUUGUAUUGCUCUUGUGACUUUUCUUUGUCAAUAAACGAUGUAUUUUACCAAGAAA